GCGGUAUGCCUAACACAUGCAAGUCGAACGGGGUAGCAAUACCUAGUGGCGGACGGGUGAGGAACGCGUGAGAACCUGCCUCUAAGUCGGGGACAACAGUUGGAAACGACUGCUAAUACCGGAUGAGCCUUCGGGUAAAAGAUUUAUCGCUUAGAGAGGGGCUCGCGUCUGAUUAGCUAGAUGGUAGUGUAAAGGACUCCCAUGGCGACGAUCAGUAGCUGGUCUGAGAGGAUGAGCAGCCACACUGGGACUGAGACACGGCCCAGACUCCUACGGGAGGCAGCAGUGGGGAAUUUUCCGCAAUGGGCGAAAGCCUGACGGAGCAAUACCGCGUGAGGGAGGAAGGCUUUUGGGUUGUAAACCUCAAAACUUAGGGAAGAAAAAAAUGACGGUACCUAAUAUAAGCAUCGGCUAACUCCGUGCCAGCAGCCGCGGUAAUACGGAGGAUGCAAGCGUUAUCCGGAAUCAUUGGGCGUAAAGAGUCCGUAGGUGGCCCAUCAAGUCUGCUUUCAAAGACCGAAGCUUAACUUCGGAAAGGGAGUAGAAACUGAAGAGCUAGAGUAUAGUAGGGGUAGAGGGAAUUCCUAGUGUAGCGGUGAAAUGCGUAGAGAUUAGGAAGAACACCAGUGGCGUAGGCGCUCUACUGGGCAUAUACUGACACUGAGGGACGAAAGCUAGGGUAGCCGAAAGGGAUUAGAUACCCCUGUAGUCCUAAGCGGUAAACGAUGGAUACUAGGCGUGGGUGCCCUAAAGANGGACUGUGUCGAAACUAACCCGUUAAGUAUCCC
rnacentral:rRNA from 1 species